AAAUUGAAGAGUUUGAUCAUGGCUCAGAUUGAACGCUGGCGGCAGGCCUAACACAUGCAAGUCGAGCGGAAACGAGUUAUCAGAACCUUCGGGGAACGAUAACGGCGUCGAGCGGCGGACGGGUGAGUAAUGCCUAGGAAAUUGCCCUGAUGUGGGGGAUAACCAUUGGAAACGAUGGCUAAUACCGCAUGAUGCCUACGGGCCAAAGAGGGGGACCUU
rnacentral:rRNA from 1 species